CAUUGCAGUGGUUUUCUCUGUGACACAUUUGUUAAGUGUUCGAAUGGGCCUGACUCUGCCACAUAUAUUAUACAGGAGCUGGCAAAGGCUUGAUGACAAAGACCGCUCUCUACCCGUUCCCACUUAUGGAAAUUGGCCCUGACGGGU